GAAGAAAUGACUAGACACAGAAAUCUGUCAAUCUAAUGGUUAACCAGACACAGAAUCUACCCGUCUAGAGAGAGCUAUUUAUAGCAGCUUUCUCCAGAGGAAGUGGAAACUUAAUUAGACACAGCAACACCCAUGUGAAAUAGAGAUUACUCCUUCAAAAGAAUAGAAUGCCUCCACUAUUUAAUAGCAGGAAUUUCAUCAGACAACAACAAACCUUUAUUACAGAUAACUAGAAUGAGCCAGUUGGAAACUAAAAGAGCAUCCUCUGCUGCAGAACACCAGAUGCUGUUUUCCAUAAAGUAAGAAUCUAGCAUCUAUCUGGAUGUCCAGCUGGAAAACUAGAGGAAAGGACCUUGAGGGAUUCCCUCGGUUAUGAUGAAAGCUGGUAAACCAGUCACAUGUUCAAAGCCGGGCAACUUCUUUACAAAAGUAGCUUCUUCUGGAUGGAAAAUAAUCACUCCAUAAAAGUGCAUGUCAGAAUACUCUAAUUUUUUUUUCUAUUUUGCAAUUCAGAACAUUUUCAAAAUGUAAAUGGCCCCCCAAAAGAAGACCUUUUAGGGGGAGUUUUGACUGUGAUUCUUGUUAAAAAAUAAUGACCGUGCCAUUUUCCCACAUGGUGUUUUUCUUUCUUGCCAGAAAAUUACCUCCUGUUAUUUACAGGAAGAAGUUUGGCCUGGGUUCCUUCUGUGCUCCCAAUUCAUAUUAAAGAAAUAGCAAAUGCUGUCAUUAAUAAAUAUAUAAAUAAAUAAAUAAAUUUCUAACUUCCCCCUUUUCCCACAAGGAAAAUAUAUUUAUGAACACCUGGUGAACUCUCACUAAUGAAACUCUUUGCCUGCCAAGGAAGUUCCCACCAUUGCCAGCUCUGAAAUAGGUAGUUCUUUUAAACAAUAAGGUUCAAUGGUGUUGAACUAAAAAUGUUGAUUCUCAUAAAAACUGCU